rnacentral:rRNA from 1 species
AUCCGACGGUCAGGGACGAAGCCUAGGGGCACGAACCGGAUUAGAUACCCGGGUAGUCCUAGGUGUAAACGCUGUGGACUUGGUGUUGGGGAUUCUCCGAGGAUUCUCAGUGCCGAAGCGAAGGUGAUAAGUCCACUGCCUGGGGAGUACGGUCGCAAGGCUGAAACUUAAAGGAAUUGGCGGGGGAGCACCGCAACCUGAGGAUUGUGCGGUUUAAUUGGAUUCAACGCCGGAAAACUCACCAGUGCCGACGGACAGAUGAAAGCCAGUGUGAUGAGCUUGCUGGAUUGUUCGAGAGGUAGUGCAUGGCCGCCGUCAGUUCGUACCGUAAGGCGUUCUGUUAAGUCAGAUAACGAACGAGACCCUCAUCCCUAUUUGCUAAGGUUUCUCCCUUCGGGGCGAGAUCACAGGACUAUAGGGAGACCGCUGGCGAGAAGUCAGAGGAAGGUGAGGGCAACGGUAGGUCAGUAUGCUCCGAAUGCACUGGGCUACACGCGCAAUACAAA